ACCUCCAACCGCAUGAGGUGGCUUCUCUACAAAAGAUGAUAGGGAAACUCAAGCAGAACCUCUUGCUGGUCUGUCUGGUGAUUAGUUCAGUGACUGUCUUCUACUUGGGGCAACAUGCUAUGGAAUGCCAUCACCAAAUAGAGGAAAGAAGCCAACUGACCCGACUAGAGCCAGCCAAAGCAACCACGAGAAGCAGCCAGGGCACAAAGGAAAAUGCCACACUGGCUUAUAACAAAGACAUGCCUUUAAUAUUUAUUGGGGGAGUACCCCGGAGUGGCACCACCUUGAUGCGGGCAAUGCUAGAUGCUCACCCGGACAUCCGCUGUGGAGAAGAGACACGGGUGAUCCCUCGGAUUUUGGCUGUCAAGCAGAUGUGGGCCCGAUCAAGCAAAGAGAAAAUGCGGCUCAAUGAGGCAGGUGUCACAGAUGAGGUGCUGGACUCGGCCAUGCAGGCCUUCCUCUUAGAAAUUAUUGUGAAACAUGGGGAGCCAGCUCCUUACCUGUGCAACAAGGACCCCUUUGCCCUCAAGUCUUUAACUUACCUUGCUAGGAUUUUCCCCAAUGCCAAGUUUAUUUUAAUGGUCAGAGAUGGCCGGGCCUCCGUUCAUUCCAUGAUCUCCAGGAAGGUCACCAUUGCUGGCUUUGAUCUGAAUAGCUACAGGGAUUGCCUGACCAAAUGGAAUCGUGCCAUUGAGAUCAUGUAUAACCAGUGCUUGGAGGCUGGCCUUGACCGUUGCAUGAUGAUGUAUUAUGAGCAGCUGGUCUUGCACCCCGAGCAGUGGCUCAGGACACUCCUCAAGUUCCUCCACAUCCCGUGGAAUCCUGCAGUUCUGCAUCAUGAAGAAAUGAUUGGGAAGGCUGGGGGAGUGUCCCUAUCAAAAGUUGAAAGAUCUACGGACCAAGUUAUUAAGCCAGUUAAUGUGGAAGCCUUGUCGAAAUGGGUUGGAAAAAUCCCCACUGAUGUUCUUCAGGAUAUGCCAGUGAUUGCACCAAUGUUGGGGAAACUUGGCUAUGACCCCUAUGCCAACCCACCCAAUUAUGGGAAGCCGGAUCAGAAAGUCCUUGAAAACACAAGAAGGGUUUAUAAAGGUGAAUUUCAACUACCUGACUUCCUAAAAGAAAUGCCACAGCUAAGGAAGACAGUAGAAAGGAAGUCUCAUAUCAAGCUAAAAUGAAGAAGGAGUUGAUAAAACUGAUGCAGUGAACUAGAAGACUGGAUGCGACUUAAUGAAUGUUGGAGACAUUUUAAAGAAAGCACAAUGGCAAAAUCUACAAACAUCUGAUUCUUCAGAAUAUGUCCCCAUUUCAUAAUGACAUAUAAACCUCUCAAUCUUUCUUGUGACUCCAGAGCAGCCCAACUGAAAUGCUGGAGGUAUUUAUAGGGAAUAGUUCUGAGAUCAAGACAUUAAAGUAGAAGGACUCCAGGUGGGAAUUCAUCCUGUAUGAAACAUUUUGGAGUUGGAAGAGUCAUGGCCUGCUUCCUAUUCUCUGUGACACUAAUAUACAGAAGAUAUUGGCAGAUUGAAUCUCAAGCACUAGAAAUUGCAUUGAUUCCUAUUUACACAACUGUUUUAAAAGCUCAGAAGAAACUCUAUGGUAUCUUCAGUAUUGAUUUAGGAUGUCAGAUAUGUUAACUUUUGAGAUGCUUUUCAUAAGACUGCUAAUUUAACACAUUAAACCUCAUGCGUGAAUUGCAGGGUGUGUCCAUAUUGAUGCAUGCUGGUUUCUUUGUGUGCAUACGUUCCAAGGAUGAUUGGCAGUCAUGGCUUCACAAGGAUGAAAAAAUGAGGAAUGGCCUGUUUAGCCCUUGCUUUUCUUCAUAAAAUACAGGAAAUGAACCAGUGCACAGAAUGUCUAUGUUAAAUACACCUUUGUUUGUCCUUUGAACUGUUUACUCCACACAUAGUUCACAUCCAUCAUUAGAUUACCAUAUAGCAGACAACUUCUUUGUGUGUAUUGCUUUACCUUCCUCGGGCAAUUUUUUAAUUUGUGGAAAAUGGUGCUUGUGCCUGUUGCCACCCCACCCUUUUACCAAUUUAGCUGAUUUAUGAAAUUAUGUUUUAAUUAUUUAAAAAUGGUUUCUGAGAUGCGAGAAAGAACUUAAAGGUUUACAAUCCAUACAAAAUGCUUUUGUAUUUUAUUUUUCAAAAUAAAAGCUUUAAAUGUGGCAAA